GUCAUGAGACGCACAAGUUUGCAGGGAAGACUGAGUGCCUAGAUUGCGGGAAGAAAGAUAAAAUUCCUCAGCCUUGUUUACGUCCUAAAUUGGUAGUCUGACUUGGUGAGCUAUAGAUUAUAAGGAGGUUGCUUUGCAGACUGUGAGGAGUCACCGAGCAGCUAUUCAAUGGCAGAGAGACUGCCUGGCAGCUCUUUAGAAAGUUGUGUGACGUAUGAACCAGUUCUUCCCUAUAUGAGAGUGUACCGUACAUCGCAGGCUGUCCAGCAUCGACCCCACUGAUGGAUGCUAGUAGUCCUCCCCGCCAGCACUCAACAUUGUGACAGUCAAAAACAUCCUCUCUACAUUUUCAAUGCCCCUGUUGGGGUAGCAGGACUCCCACUGAGAGACCCCAGUAGAGAUGGUCCCCAAGCAUGCUAACCAUGAAGCAGUGAUAUCGCACAGCACCUGCUUCCAGCAGCCCGGAGCCAAGGGGCAAAAUGGAAAGAGUCAGCAUUUCUCUUUUAGGUUCUCUGCCUCUCUAGUGUGUAAGCUUUUAACCCCCACUACGCGUCUUCGUUCCAUUCUCCUCCAGUACCCAUUUUAGUGAGCUUCUGUUGUUUCUGCCCCAGGAUAUCUCUAACAAAGAACCAAGAUAUUUAUCAGGAGAACUUCUCCCACUCUCCUCUCAGUCCUUGGGGAUCUGAUGAAAUGACACUUCUUGGACUGUGGGGUGGAGCAUGUGAGUCACACCUGGGCCAAUCAUUUUAUCCUAUUUCGUGACCACAUGACCAAUUCAGGGAUGGGAACAUGACCCAGGUGGAACCUAUGAGAGGCAGUGAGAUCUUUCCAGGUACUUCCAGGAAAGAGGGUCUCACUUUUCCCUCUAUAAUGUACACCAGAGAAGGUGUGUGGCUGAAGCUGCUACCAUCCUCUUGUGGCUACAGGAAGCUGGGAUUAAUUGUAACAACGCAAUUGGCAGAUCUGAAAGCUGAGAACAAAAAAGCAAAAAACCUGUGUUCUAAUAACACUAUAUAUGAGCCCUAAAUCCAGCUAUGCCUGGAGCCAGUCUUACUGUGGAAUUUUUAACCUAAGCUGGUUGAUAAAUUAUCUUUUCAUUUAAGACAAAGUCAUGGCAGAUUUUUUGCCACUUGUGAGAAGAAGACAGAUACACCCAAGAAGCUCCUGUUCUUUCUCAUUAACCCAUAUUAAAACCCACUUUCGGGAAAGGAUUCUCCAUUCUAAAUUAUUAAUAACUGAUAAUGCUUCAAAGUCAAAGUAUGACUCCUUCAAGAAAGUUUUCAGCUUUCAGGAUUUGUUCAGCAAAUACUGAGCCCCUUCUGAUGCAAAUAGACAUGGCAGUGUAUGCUAGGAGGAGAGUGUAGCCAAGUUUUCCCAUCAAACUCGGUAUUUCAGUGCCUAAUUUUGGCCAUUCAGAUAAGUUUCAACUUCUAGUAAUGGCCAAGUAAAUUAUAUCUAACUAAACCUUCUGCCAAAGACAGUGGUAAAUUCUGGACCCAAAACACAAUGAUAACAACAAAACCUGUUUGAAGGUUCUUGAAACUGGCCAACAUGGUUUGGUUCUGCAGACAAAAACUGAAGACAUGACCCUUGAAAAAAGGAAAUCACAUAUGGUGAGAUACACAUUUAUCAGGUUUUCCUUCAGCAGCGCUAUCCAUUUCCUGCAGUGGACGGAGGUAGAGCUCAGCAGAAAGUGGCUGUUCUACUGAGUUAAAAAGUUAGAGGUUAGAAUUUGGGGCUUCCACAGUAGCAGGAGAUUGGGAAGGAGGGAAUCUCGCAAAGGAGGGAGUCUCAGAUGGGGAGCUCCCAAAUCUGUGUACAAACUUCUCUGAUUCCUAAACUGUGCAUCUGGGUGAGGUUCAAGGAGCUGAGGGAAAAAUAACAGCUGGAAGGCUAAAAAGGUGUUGUCUUGUGUUGAGCAGAUGGUGCUUAGGGUUUAGUUCUCACCAAGUUAGAGGACUCUGGAGAACACCUAAAGCUUUCUACUGAGACUACAGAAGGAGUAAUGACUACUCCCCAGGACUAAAGCCUAUGUCCUAGGAAUAAAGGCAAAACCAAGAUAGGCCCACCCUGACAAAGCCUAAAACCAACUCUUCAUAGCCGCAUUAUGCAAUAUAGUAACUUCUAGGCACACAUGGCAUUUCAAAUUUAAUUAAAACUAAGUAAAAUUUAACAUGUAGUUCCUCAGACACACUAGCCACAUUUCAAAUGUUCACAGACACAUGUAGUUAAUGGCUAUGAUACUGGACUGCACAGACUACAGAAUAUUUCUAUCAUCAUGGAAGUUCUAUUGAAUGGCAUUGCUCUAUAGGAUCAAGACUAUGCUAGUAAUUUAACUGCUUGAUAGAACAAAUGUCAAAUUUCUUCUAAGGAAGAUAGUAGACUCCAAAG
rnacentral:lncRNA from 10 species